rnacentral:pre_miRNA from 1 species
AACAUGAUUGCUGGAUCAUAUGGUAAGAGUGUAUUUAAUUUUUUAAGAAAUUGCCAAACUGUUUUCCAAAGUGACUGUACCAUUUUGCAAUCCCACCAGCAAU